rnacentral:rRNA from 1 species
UGAAACUACAAGACUAGAAUAUGUCAGAGGGGGGUAGAAUUCCACGUGUAGCAGUGAAAUGCGUAGAGAUGUGGAGGAAUACCAAUGGCGAAGGCAGCCCCCUGGGAUAAUAUUGACGCUCAUGCACGAAAGCGUGGGGAGCAAACAGGGUUAGAUACCCUGGUAGUCCACGCCCUAAACGAUGUCUACUAGUUGUUGGUGGAGUAAAAUCCAUGAGUAACGCAGCUAACGCGUGAAGUAGACCGCCUGGGGAGUACGGUCGCAAGAUUAAAACUCAAAUGAAUUGACGGGGGCCCGCACAAGCGGUGGAUUAUGUGGAUUAAUUCGAUGCAACGCGAAAAACCUUACCUGGCCUUGACAUGUAACGAACUUUCCAGAGAUGGAUUGGUGCUCGAAAGAGAACGUUAACACAGGUGCUGCAUGGCUGUCGUCAGCUCGUGUCGUGAGAUGUUGGGUUAAGUCCCGCAACGAGCGCAACCCUUGCCAUUAAUUGCCAUCAUUUAGUUGGGCACUUUAAUGGGACUGCCGGUGACAAACCGGAGGAAGGUGGGGAUGACGUCAAGUCCUCAUGGCCCUUAUGGCCAGGGCUUCACACGUAAUACAAUGGUCGGUACAGAGGGUUGCCAAGCCGCGAGGUGGAGCCAAUCCCAGAAAGCCGAUCGUAGUCCGGAUUGUAGUCUGCAACUCGACUACAUGAAGUCGGAAUCGCUAGUAAUCGCGGAUCAGCAUGUCGCGGUGAAUACGUUCCCGGGCCUUGUACACACCGCCCGUCACACCAUGGGAGUGGGUUUUACCAGAAGUAGGUAGUCUAACCUUCGGGGGGACGCUUACCACGGUAGUAUUCAUGACUGGGGUG